rnacentral:rRNA from 1 species
GAUGAACGCUGGCGGCGUGCCUAAUACAUGCAAGUCGAGCGAACGGACGAGAAGCUUGCUUCUCUGAUGUUAGGGGCGGACGGGUGAGUAACACGUGGAUAACCUACCUAUAAGACUGGGAUAACUUCGGGAAACCGGAGCUAAUACCGGAUAAUAUUUUGAACCGCAUGGUUCAAAAGUGAAAGACGGUAUUGCUGUCACUUAUAGAUGGAUCCGCGCUGCAUUAGCUAGUUGGUAAGGUAACGGCUUACCAAGGCAACGAUGCAUAGCCGACCUGAGAGGGUGAUCGGCCACACUGGAACUGAGACACGGUCCAGACUCCUACGGGAGGCAGCAGUAGGGAAUCUUCCGCAAUGGGCGAAAGCCUGACGGAGCAACGCCGCGUGAGUGAUGAAGGUCUUCGGAUCGUAAAACUCUGUUAUUAGGGAAGAACAUAUGUGUAAGUAACUGUGCACAUCUUGACGGUACCUAAUCAGAAAGCCACGGCUAACUACGUG